GUGCCUACUUCACCAGCACACACACUAAAAUCCGAACAAUACAGAGAAGGUUCUCAGGGCUCCUGCACGAGGAUGGUACACAAAUUCGUGAAGUAUUCCAUAUUUUU